UACGUAGGUGGCAAGCGUUGUCCGGAAUUACUGGGCGUAAAGGGCUCGUAGGCGGCCAACUAAGUCGGAUGUGAAAUCCCCAGCUUAACCUGGGAACUGCAUCCGAUACUGGAUGGCUUGAAUCCGGGAGAGGGAUGCGGAAUUCCAGGUGUGCGGUGAAAUGCGUAGAUAUACGGAGGAACACCAGCGGCGAAGGCGGGUAGCUGGGCCAAACACUGACGCUGAGGCGCGAAAGCUAGGGUAGCAAACGGG
rnacentral:rRNA from 1 species